rnacentral:rRNA from 1 species
GUCAGCAGCCAUAUCACCCUGCAACUCACAACUGGCAACCCACUGAAGCUAAGCAGGUGUGAGCCUGUACCUGGAUGGGAGACCUCCUGGGAAAAACUAAGGUUGCUGCUGGAA